rnacentral:rRNA from 1 species
UACGUAGGUGGCAAGCGUUAUCCGGAUUUAUUGGGCGUAAAGCGAGCGCAGGCGGUUGCUUAGGUCUGAUGUGAAAGCCUUCGGCUUAACCGAAGAAGUGCAUCGGAAACCGGGCGACUUGAGUGCAGAAGAGGACAGUGGAACUCCAUGUGUAGCGGUGGAAUGCGUAGAUAUCACGCAGAACUCCGAUUGCGAAGGCAGCGUACCGGCGCCCAACUGACGCUGAAGCACGAAGGCGUGGGUAUCGAACAGG